ACUCAAAUGAAUAGACGGGGACCCGCACAAGCGGUGGAGCAUGUGGAUUAAUUCGAUACUAACCGAAGAACCUUACCCAGGUUUGACAUCGAUGGAAAGCCGGUGAAAGCCGGCCCUCCCGCCACAAGCGGGACCUGAAGACAGAUGUUGCAUGGCUGUCGUCAGCUCGUGCCGUGAGGUGUACGGUUAAGUCCGCCAACGAGCGCAACCCUCGUCGUGUGUUGCCAACGAGUAAAGUCGGGAACUCACACGAUACCGCCGGUGUAAGCCGGAGGAAGGUGGGGAUGACGUCAAGUCAGCAUGGCUCUUACGCCUGGGGCUUCACACAUGCUACAAUGGGCAAAACAAAGGGCACCGAAACCGAGAGGUUGAGGCAAUCCCAAAAAUAUGCCCUCAGUUCAGAUUGUAGUCUGCAACUCGACUACAUGAAGUUGGAAUCGCUAGUAAACGCAGGUCAGCUAUACUGCGUUGAAUACGUUCCCGGGUCUUGCACACACCGCCCGU
rnacentral:rRNA from 1 species